UUUCUGAAGUAUUUCAUCUUUCCCGCACAAAACAAAAAUAAUUCAUACUCCUUCACUAAAGAGAAAACCGCCAUUCUGCUUAUCUUUUAUUUUCAAUUUUAUCUACAUACACCACUCAAGCUAAAUCGCACCAAAGAUUUGCUCGUGUUGAAUUUCUCCUUCGUCCGAUUUGUUGCAGUCUCGGCGCCCUCAUUUCCAGCGACUACCACAACGCCUGCCUCGUCCCUCUCUCAAUCUUUGCAGGAUGAAGCCCUGAGGCUGGAACACGGCUGCUGAGAAGGCAUGCUAAAGGCUUGGAGCUUUGGAUGUGCUGGAUUGCGGAUGGAGAAAACAUAAAUCUAGAGUUAGCUUGGGUUAUGUAAGUGAGUUUUGAAGCGAGUAAUCUGUAUUUAGUUAUUUCAUUUACUCUUGUUUGUCUACAUUUGAUUCAUUUAAAUUUAAUACUUCAAGUGGAAUGCCAAAAUCGGAUUUAGAAUGAGUGGACUAGUAGCUAUACAAAGAUAUUCUCUGGUAGUUUAUUUUUCCCAUUUCUUGUUUUCCAUGUAGUAUGUGUAGCUUCGCCCAUUCUCCUUUAUUCAUUAAUGUUUUAUGUUGCACACUAUCUUAUUUUGGUUCUAUCAAUGAUAACAAUAAACCAAUAUUGUUUC